GGUCCUUCUACCAAGUGUUUUAGUGAACUCUUCCGGCCUGUUAUGUGCCAAACAACAUGGAUAUGGCAGGUGAAACAGCAGAUAUGAGCUUCAUUUUACCUGCAAUGGAGAAUUCCAACAGAGUCUCUUGGGGGACCAGUGACCCAAGGCGUGGUCUCCCAUGAGGUGACGCAAGCUGUGGAAAAUAGAAAUCAAGGUACCAAAACUGAGAGGAAAAGAAAAUCUUAGAUAACUAAAAUAAUUGUUUUAAAUGCUGGAUAGAAAGAGGCUCUAGUUAUCAAGAUGAAGAAGAUCUAUGAAAAAGAUAAAGGGGCUUUCCCACAUCUAAAAAGACAUCAGUAAGAGCCCAAUCCUGCAAAUCCUUCUGUGGAUGUGAAAGUAGAGUGUGACACCCAGGAACACAGGACAACAAUUGAAAACAAUCCUGUACCUAUCAUUCUGACAGAGAUCCAGAUCCCUCACCGAUCAAUCUGACAGAGUCCAAAGAUCAAACCACCAGUCCAAACACACUACAUGCAAUUAUAACUGAGUUUAGAUAACUUUAGAAUAGUCUGAACAGUGUUGUGAAUAUAUUUCUUGUCAGUGUUAAAUACUGCAUUCAGUAUUGCACUGUACUAUGUUGGUGCGUCUUGCCUAUAAGUAUGCUGGCUGCCCUUUAAUCUGAUACUAGCUCCAACAGUGUGACACAAUUUU